GGAAGAGCCCCUCAGAGAAGAGGACUGCUGAAUAACUCUGCCCAUGGGCUGCUGCCUCACACCUACCUCCCCUGGCCCAGGCCGAAACGGCUUGCCUCCAGCAACAGCCAGUCCCAGGAUGUUCCUCCAAAACAGGUUGUUUCCCAUAACCCUCCCACACCUUUACUGAACUCUCCACAAUGACCUUGUUCAAGAGGACUGCUUCUGUCUAACCAGGAGGGCUGCCAGGCCCUGGACUCAUCCAGAGGGAAAUGUGCAGGAAGAGAUGCAGUGAAGGAAACCAACUAGACUUGUGCACAACAUUUAGUUCUGAGUCUCCUAGCAGCCAAGUCAAAAAGAAUAAAGUAUAUCAUGUAACAGAAUAAGAUUUCUUUUUUUACAAUGAACCCUGAGUGGAAUUUUUCACAUGUUUAUUUAUGCGACAGAAGAUUUCUUAAUGUUCAUGCAUACCUUUGCUUUCAUAGUGCUCUGAAUCCUGUGUAGGAAGAAGUGAUCAGCAUCAGGGUCAAAUUUAGAAGUGAUGCAAGAGUGAGGAAGAUUUAGCAGCAUGAGAGAAGGUCCAGUGAUCAGGCCAAUGAGGUAACUACACUGCCAGAAACUCUGUCUUACUCACUAUGGUAUCCCCACCAUCUAGAAUAGUACCUGGCACAUAGAAGAAUACAUACGUGUUGGUUAAAACGAUGAAAAUCUUAAAAUCUUUGUAUUGUCACAUUUUGGCCUCUUGUAUGUUACAGCCUCCAAAUGCCACUUUAGUUUGAGAAAAACACGGUAUUGUAGAACAUGGUUCUCAGACUUGACUGCACGUUGGCGUUAUCUGAAGAGCUGAGUUAAAUAUUGUUGCCUGGAUCCCACACUCAGCUCUUCUGAUUUUAUUCGUUUUGGAGUCGGCCAGGGCAUCAGACUUUUUUUUCUUUCAAUGUGAUCCAGGCAAUUCUGUUGUGCAUCCCAAGUUGAGAACAUAGAAGUGGAACAUGUUCUGAGAUUGGAGUCAGGACACCUGGUUUUAGGCCUCGAUCAACCAACAAUUGCCUGGUUAAGAAAAAGCACAGAGUUCAAC
rnacentral:lncRNA from 1 species